GGUCCCGCUUCAGGUAGCGCGCCAGGUACCGCACAUGGAGGUGCUCAAGGCCAGGUUGGGCAGGACUCCGAGCAACCCGGGCUGCGCAAGGUGCCCCUGUCCGGCAGGGCGUUGGAUCGAGGGACUGCAGGGUCCCUGCUGAGCAGACCGUGCCUGAGGGGUGGCAGCCCCUCCGGACGGGCGCACCGUGUGCGGUGCUCUGCGGGGCACAGCCCACGGGGUCAGUUUCGGCCUUGCAGAUCUCUCUUGUAGCUCCUUUCUUCUUUUGGCCCGUUCAGGCUCCUCGUCUUCACCUCUGCCGGUGCCCUGUCGCUCCUGAGCCGCACGGGGAGCAGGGACACAGCGGCUGCUCCCGGGAAGCUCCGGCCAGAGCUCCUGCGGCGCUUCUCUUGACACGGGGCAGGUGCGAUCCAAGCACCAACGCGCCCUGUGUGCUGGUUUAUAAUGUGACUAGAAGACCUGGACAGCAGUGGAAACAAUGGUGCUGGUGCUGAAACAAUGCAUAUGCACAGCAAGAGCAGAUGCACGGAGCUCCUCACUGCUGGUCACUGAGCUGAGCACAGCAGGAAAAAAGGCUCCGACAUAAUCCUAAACUGAUUAAAACAUAAUAUACUUACUCUCUACAGUGCUGAUGUGGUAAAAAUGAAGAACAUUGGUUCAAAGUAUGUGGUUUGAGACCGAAAUAUCUUCCUGCCUAGGGAAUUCACACAGGAUGUAGACAGGAAGGAUAUUGUCAGUAAAGCAGAUGAUAACAAAAA